GGUGUUGAGGCCUUUAUCAGCAAACUUUCGGAUUUGGACACUAAUAGGGUCAUUAAAGGCAGGCAAGUUUGCGGUAUCCGAUGCUUGUGAAACCAAUCCAUCUCUACGUCCUAAUCGUACCUGCCAACUACACUGAACUAUGGAUUCGGCCCUAGGGCAGGACGACCUGUAAUAACCAAGACGGGUGCCGCUGCCACUACCGCGGUUGCCUUGACCUAGUGACAAGGUUGUGAGAGUGGCUAACAGAAGAACCAACAAAGCAACCGUUUUGCUUAAGGAGGA
rnacentral:lncRNA from 1 species